UAUGUUAGAAAGCACAAUUAAAUUUCAGACAAAAAAAAAGCACAAUUAAAUGAGUAGUACUUAACAAUACAAUAAAACAAUACAACAAGGGUAUGUUUGCCUUAUUCAUACAUCAAAGCAAACGAGGUAUAAAGUGGUAAAUGUAGCUUAUCCCUUACUCAUGCCUCAAAACAAACACACUCCAAAUAUAUUAUUACGAGGAUAAAACAAUACAACAAAGAUACAUUCAUAUUAUUAGGAGGGAAAAAAGCAAGUUGGAAGAAGUUGAUGAAAAAAACCCUCGCCUGGACUUAGUUUAAAGGUCCUUAAAAUUUAUGAUGUUAAAGUUGAAUUGGAAACAACUGACGGCAGUGUAAAUACCAUCAAUCUGAAGAGUUUCAGAGGUUGCGCCGCUGGGGGCGGAGCUCUUGUCAGACUGAGUGUAGGUGAAGGGAAUACUGCAGGUGGCUCUCGUUCCCAAAUAUUGAACCUCAGCCUUAUGCCUCGCCGGCACCGGAAUAAAACCCGUAGCCUGAACGGUGCUCGUCAUCGUGUUGGCGGCGUUCCACUGCAGCGGCGCACUUAUCCGAUAAUCAGAUGGCGCAAUAGCAGCUCCUAGGCCAACGAAUGGCAGGUCGGCUUCGAUGGUGGUGGGCACCCCCGCCGGAAAUGUGUAGCUCCGCCCAAAACUGUAACUUCUCGAGUCCUCAUACGUGAUCACCACCGCCAUGUUAGCAUCCUGGUCGGUGUCGUUAGGAAUCUCGG
rnacentral:lncRNA from 1 species